UCACACUCUCACAUCUUCUCUCCAUUCGAAUCUCUCUCUGUUGAGCAUUCAAGCAUUGCGACCGGAGUACUCUCUCUGUUGAUUGUGCCUAACACCGUAAGUUUUGCAUUUCCUUUCGUUUUCAAUCCAUCUCGAUUGUGCCCUAAUUGCUGGGUUAUUAGAUUUAGUCACUGGUUAUGCCUUCUUUUCGUCAGAAGUUGAUUGGAGAACGCUAAUACUCGAAGCAGUGAAGAAUCGCGAACGAAAGUGUUCGAUUUUCGGCGAAGGCGAUUUUGGAGUGUUUUUGCGGUGGUUGUGGAGGAGAAUUCGAAACUGGAAUUGGAAGUCCAAAAACAGAAUCAAAAGCUUCGAUUCCUUUUGCUCUUAGUCGAAAUUGGUUUAUGUAUGUUCUUCUUCCGCUUUCACUUCCGAUUCCGACGAUUUUUGGUUCUGCCUUUUCCGUUCACUGAUCUUCGUUUUCUAGAGCGAUAUUGGAGAAGCUUAACGGAGAAUACGAGCUCAUUGAUGCACGAGAUAAUUUCUCAAGCUUAGUUGAUGAUUCGCGAGUGAAUUUGUUGGCUCAGUGAAGAACUGAUUCCUUUGUGCAAAGCAGUUUGGUGCGAAACUGAAAAACAAAAGACGUUGUCGGAAACGAAAUUAUGUGAUUUGUUGCUGGUUGGUAAUGCAUUGGUUGCUGGAAUUGCCAAACAAAUUGGAUCAAUAAUUUGUGUACUUGUUAAAAUUGUAGAUAAACUGUUUGAUGAAUUGCUCAUGGUGCCGUGAUGUAGUAUGAUUGAAGCAUUCUGUGAAUUGGUGUGGUGAUGUAAUUUGAAGAAUGUUCUAUGAAUUGAAGCAGAUAAAGUGUUUGCU
rnacentral:lncRNA from 1 species